GGGCUUUGACUGUCGCUUACUCAGUGGCCAGAAAGAGAAAAAAAAAUAAAAAAUCCUUGUGUGUUUUCCUAGAGCUACGCGUCUGAUACUCAUCUCUUGUUGUUCGUUAUUCCUAGUAGGGCUGGGCGAUAUGACGGCGUGAUAUCGAUAUCACGAGAUAUCGCGAUACUUUUGUUGCUGUUUUGUUUUUGUUUGUUUUUUUUCCCCUGCCUCUAAGCAGCUGAUUUGAUGCCAAAACUUUCUGCUUAAUCUUUCAAAUUGUAAAAUGUUUACAGAAAUUUCUUUCAGUGUUUAUUACAAAAAAAAAAAUGUCUAUUGUGUUCUACUGUGUAAGGUAUAACAUGCGAUGAACAGACUCCGCAGCAGGGAGGUGCGACGUGGCCCGCUGCAAGACUUCCCAAAGCGCUGACGCUGGAGACUCCUUUCAUACACGUGACAUAAACGUCUCCUUACUCAAAACCUCGCCGAGAUGAACAUGUUUAACGGCGAGAUUUGUUUAUGCGUUUUUUUUUUUUUGUUUUUUUACUAGGCGUCGAUUAUACGGAGUAUCCUCGUGAACGAGCCGUUGCUAUAGAAACGCCGCAUUAGACUGAGCGAGCGCGUUACCGUCUGACCAGUCGGAUUCAGAAUUAAACCGUGCCGGGGGGUUUAAGUGAAACUGGAUCAGAUUAGAUGAGCGGUUGGUUUUCACUCUAAGUGUCGAUGUUCAGAGUUGCGGGUUUCUUUGUCGAACUGUAAACUCGUUUGUCGUUGUCGAUCUGAAUCGUUAAGAGCGACCGUGAAAAAUAAAAUCCUACUCGAUUAUUAACGGUUUCAUUUUCUAUGCAGAACGUUCCCUCAUGACUGCUGCUGCUCCUACGUGUAAAAAAAAAAAAAAAAAACCCUGUCGGAGAGACACUGUAGCUAAAUUGAGGGAGAAGGUACAGUAAUACACUUCAUGACUCACACUCGCAAUCCUCACUUCCUCUACUUUCUGUUCUUCAGAAAACAGAACUCCGGCUAUUUCUAUGAAGAAAAAAAAAGCCCCGCCAAACGUGAAUAUAGAGAUUACUCAAGUCCACAUCCGUUUUCAGUGGGCUACUAACUUGGAAAUGUGGAGGCGGAUGAAAUUGUCACAAGUCGAGCAGGCUGUAGAAGAAGACAUGUACGAAGACACCUAGGAUGCAGAUGAUGAGGUAGAGGAGGUGGUACAGGAACUCCACGUCCAUGAUCAUGGCUUUAUAACCCCGCGUGAACGUCCCCCGAUUUCCCACAAAACUCAUCAGGAAGAUCACCUUAUUGCACACCUUCGACAAGCACACACACAAAUAAGUGUGACCGACCGCAGGAGAACACUGAUGGCCUUUUCACUCGCCAGGUUGUGUUUUAGCAGAAGGGUGUGAGGACGGGGAGGAACAGUCCAGUGACGCACUCCACACCUCCGCUCAACACAGAGUGCACACAGAGAAUGCAGAGGUUACUUUUACUUUCUCUCACACUCACUCACACACACACACACACACACACACACACACACACACAGA